AACGAACGCUGGCGGCAGGCCUUAUACAUGCAAGUCGAGCGCUCUCUUCGGAGGGAGCGGCGGACGGGUUAGUAACGCGUGGGAAUGUGCCCUUCUCUAAGGAAUAGCCACUGGAAACGGUGAGUAAUACCUUAUACGCCCUUCGGGGGAAAGAUUUAUCGGAGAAGGAUCAGCCCGCGUUAGAUUAGGUAGUUGGUGGGGUAACGGCCUACCAAGCCGACGAUCUAUAGCUGGUUUGAGAGGAUGAUCAGCAACACUGGGACUGAGACACGGCCCAGACUCCUACGGGAGGCAGCAGUGGGGAAUCUUAGACAAUGGGCGCAAGCCUGAUCUAGCCAUGCCGCGUGAGUGACGAAGGCCCUAGGGUCAAGCUCUUUCGCCAGGGAUGAUAA
rnacentral:rRNA from 1 species